rnacentral:rRNA from 1 species
AUUGAACGCUGGCGGCAUGCCUUACACAUGCAAGUCGAACGGUAACGGGCCUUCGGGUGCCGACGAGUGGCGAACGGGUGAGUAAUACAUCGGAACGUGCCCGAUCGUGGGGGAUAACGAGGCGAAAGCUUUGCUAAUACCGCAUACGAUCUACGGAUGAAAGCAGGGGACCGCAAGGCCUUGCGCGGACGGAGCGGCCGAUGGCAGAUUAGGUAGUUGGUGGGAUAAAAGCUUACCAAGCCGACGAUCUGUAGCUGGUCUGAGAGGAUGAUCAGCCACACUGGGACUGAGACACGGCCCAGACUCCUACGGGAGGCAGCAGUGGGGAAUUUUGGACAAUGGGCGCAAGCCUGGUCCAGCCAUGCCGCGUGCAGGAUGAAGGCCUUCGGGUUGUAAACUGCUUUUGUACGGAACGAAAAGCCUUCUUUUAAUACAGGAGGGUCAUGACGGUACCGUAAGAAUAAGCACCGGCUAACUACGCG